rnacentral:tRNA from 1 species
UGGCUCAGCGGUUAAAGUGCUUGGCUGCUAACCUAAAGGUCGGUGGUUCAAACCCACC